rnacentral:rRNA from 1 species
UAGGGAAUUUUCGGCAAUGGGGGGAACCCUGACCGAGCAACGCCGCGUGAGUGAAGAAGGUUUUCGGAUCGUAAAGCUCUGUUGUUAAGGAAGAACGAGUGUGAGAAUGGAAAGUUCAUGCUGUGACGGUACUUAACCAGAAAGGGACGGCUAACUACGUGCCAGCAGCCGCGGUAAUACGUAGGUCCCGAGCGUUGUCCGGAUUUAUUGGGCGUAAAGCGAGCGCAGGCGGUUAGAUAAGUCUGAAGUUAAAGGCAGUGGCUCAACCAUUAUAGACUUUGGAAAGUGUUUAACUGGAGUGCGGAAGGGGAGGGUGAAAUUCCAUGUGUACCGGUGAAUUGCGUAGAUAUAUGGAGGAACACCGGUGGCGAAAGCGGCUCUCUGGUCUGUAACUGACGCUGAGGCUCGAAAGCGUGGGGAGCGAACAGG